AACGAACGCUGGCGGCGUGCCUAACACAUGCAAGUCGAGGGAGAAAAGGGGCUUCGGCUCCUGAGUAAACCGGCGCACGGGUGAGUAACACGUAGGUAACGUACCUUCGAGUCUGGGAUAACCAGUCGAAAGACUGGCUAAUACCAGAUACGACUGUGGGAGCUCCGGCUUUUGCAGUGAAAGAUGGCCUCUGCUUGCACGCUAUCACUCGUUGAUCGGCCUGCGCACCAUUAGCUAGUUGGUGAGGUAAUGGCUCACCAAGGCUGAGAUGGUUAGCUGGUCUGAGAGGAUGGCCAG
rnacentral:rRNA from 1 species